ACCAGUGUUACAGCUCCGUGUUACAGCUCAGUUUUAUUAUGAAAAACAAAGGCUAGUACACACUCGAGUGAGGGUGGGCAGACCCAAAAGAUGAAGAGAAGAGAGGCCUCAAUCCUUCUAGGCUUCCUCCUCUUAUACAUUUGUCUCCUUCCCCGUGAGCCUGCCCUGUGUAAAUUGGGCUAGCCAGGAGGGCUGUUUCACUUGAGGUUCUCACUCCACUCAGACUUUCCUUUAUUCUAUUUUUGCAGGCUUUUACCUUCUUUGCCUUUUAGCCACCGCUAUUUUGGACUCCUUUUUCCUAUUCUAACUACCUACCACCAUCUUUAUUUUUUUUAUCAGAUAAAAAUUUAAUAAAAAUAUGAACUGAAUGAAAGGGGAAAAGUGAUGCCUAACACCAUCUUUAUAAGUCGUUUUCCCUAUAGUAUAGUUGGGUGACAUGGGUCCCAAGAGAGGAAGACAGAUCUCUUGUGUAUUUUAUUUUCAGUGUGGAAUCGUGCUAGUGACAAUAGAUAUUCGUUGUGAAUGAAUCCGUGACCCCUAACAAAUUACUCUUUGGUUGCGUUUCUGAUUGCUUUGUUACAGGUAGUAAACACUGCCAGACAGAAGACUUCUGAUGCUUUUUAAUUAAGUGACAGAAUCCUAAAAAGGUCAGAACUGUAACUUACAAAAGCACUUUUCACUGGUUUUCCCAGAGGAAUGAAAGAUCAAAAUCUCAGGAUGUCCAGAGGAUGUAUAAAAGCAGUGGUGACAUAGCUGGUUCUGCUCAGAUGUAGCAGCAGUGAUGCAGCUGCCAUCUCCUGUCGAGGACAGUCCUUCAGCUCUGUCGUCUCCCACCACCUCGGUCUCUUCCAGUUGGUAACCCUUCUUGCCUGUUCACACAAUGCCAGCCCCUGUAUGCCAGCUGUUGUCCUGCACUACUAUAUUUUCAAGUUUUAUUCAGAGGAGAAAAUAACUAACAACACAUGGCUAAUUAAUGUAAGUGAUAAAAGAAAAGCAACUAAUUAAUCAAAUUAAUGUUCUGACACUUGUCUGGCAUUCUUUUAUGCUUGGGAGACAUCAGCAUUUUUUAAUCUCCUGCUUUGCAGUUAGGAAGUUGAUCUUUGGUCUUAUACUGAAGAACCCUGUGUAAGAAACACUAGUGCAGGACACUGCAAAUCUGCAAAAGAUUUGGAACUAGUUCAAUCUUU
rnacentral:lncRNA from 1 species